rnacentral:lncRNA from 1 species
CUGUGCAGUAGAAAUCUGCUCCAAGUUUGGUGCGGAAUUGUUGUCUGCCACCAUGACGUGAGAGAGAUGGGCUGCACUCUUCAACAUGAGCUUCUCAUUGCAGAGUAAAAGACAAGUCUACGCCAAGAGUGCCCUCUGCACCGAAGUGAAGAGGCUGGGAUAUGGGCUGAGGUGUCCUGACCACUGGGAAGCACUGCCUCAGAUCUUCUACAGAUACGUGGAAAAUCCCACCUCUGGAGUUAUGCAGGAUUCCCAGCCUUCGCUGGUGUUUCUUGACUUUCUCAUCAGGGUGUUCUCUUCAAGCUGUUGGCCGUGUGCAUGCCUGACAAGCUUCAGGCCAUCUGCCUUGCAGAAACUGGCUUGAAAGUAUGACCCAAGCCUUGUGUUAUAAACAUCAUCAAGCUAACUAAAAGAACUCCCAAACUGUUUUUUUCCAUAAUUUUCCAGAUUUUGAACACAAGGUGAUCAGUUUUAUAUAUAAUUUUUGAACUCUUGUAAUGCAGGAUCUAGUUUCAAAACACUGGAGAGGAUGGAAGCAGACUAGGGGAACCACAAGGAAACUGCACACUCAGAGAACCUCAUCCUCAAUGUAAAUUACAUUUCCCUGUCUCUCCUUUCAAUGAGAACACACAUGCCAUGUACGGUUUUCUGGAAGAAUGCUUGGGCACAGGGUUUAGACAGCUGUAAAUAUUCUCUUGUGUGAUGGCAGGAACUUGUAGGAAGGAAAAUGAACUGUCAGCUUGAGAACUGAAAGAACAAAGCCAUAAGAGCAUCAAAAAGGCCUGCUGAGUGUGGCACUACGUUAAAAGUGAGACUGCACUGGGGGAUGACUGCUGGUCCAAUGCUGCCUACUGCAGCUUUUGCAAAGAUCACGCAGGCCAGGAGAGCCUUUCAGCAGAUGCUCCUGGGCUUUGGAUUGCCCUCCCCACAGAGGCUCUGCGAUGAUGGGUAGACAGAUAAGGACCUCCCAGAAUAGGAAGCAUUCUCUAUGCUCCUUCAGUUAGUUACCUGCUGGUUGCUGAUCCUUUUACAUAGUCUUGGGUGAAACUGUUCAGUCACAGGAGUUGUGAAGCACCAGAGUAAGUUGCCCACGGCGCUUGUGGGAUAUUCAUUUUUGGAGGUUUUCAGAACACAUUUAGCAGGGCACUUAAUAACCUGAUUUAACCUUGAGGUUGGCUGCUUUGAGUUUUUCUAUCAUUCCAAAUUCUCUCUGCUACCAUAAGACUAGAAAAGAGAUGUUUUAUUAAAAGCUGAAGUGUUUAUUCAGUCUCUUAAAUCUCAAGAAAGGAAAAAUGAUUUCUUGUUAUUUAUGAUACAAUUCUGAGAUUUGACGACUAAUCUGAUUAAGACUUUGAUGCCUUCUC